AACGAACGCUGGCGGCGCGCUUAACACAUGCAAGUCGAACGAGAAGGCGUAGCAAUACGCUUGUACAGUGGCGAACGGGUGAGUAAUACGUGGGCGACCUACCCUCGAGUGGGGAAUAACCCGCCGAAAGGCGGGCUAAUGCCGCGUACGCUUCCAUCUUUAUGGAGGUGGAAGGAAAGCCGUGCCGUGGGCACGGCGCUCAAGGAUGGGCUCACGUCCUAUCAGCUUGUUGGAGGGUAACGGCCUACCAAGGCUCCGACGGGUAGCUGGUCUGAGAGGACGAUCAGCCACACUGGCACUGCGACACGGGCCAGACUCCGUACGGGAGCAGCAGUGAGGAAUAUUGCGCAA
rnacentral:rRNA from 1 species